ACUCAAAGGAAUAGACGGGGACUUGCACAAGCGGUGGAUUAUGCGGUUCAAUUCGAUGACAAACGAAAAACCUUACCAAGGUUAGAAAUCUAGAUGAAUGUUGCAGAAACGUAACAGUCUCACAAGGACAUCUAGACAGGUGAUGCAUGGCCGUCGUCAGUUCGUGAUUUGAAUUGUUCCCUUAAGUGGGGUAACGAACGCAACCCUUAUUGGCUGUUACAAGUAUCAGCCGAGACUACCCAGCACCUAGACCGGAAACUUAAGUUUCUUGUUUGAGUGCUGGGAGGAAGCGAGGAUGACGCCAGGUCAGCAUGUCCCUCUGACACCUUGGGCUACACGCAUAAUACAAUGGCCACUACAACGGGUUGCGACGACGUAAGUCUGAGCUAAUCCUAAGAAAAGUGGCCCCAGUUCGGAUUGGGGGCUGCAACUCGACCCCAUGAAGUUGGAAUCGCUAGUAAUCGCAGGUCAGCUAUACUGCGGUGAAUACGUUCUCAAGUCUUGUACACACCGCCCGU
rnacentral:rRNA from 1 species